rnacentral:lncRNA from 10 species
CACGCUGUGCGAGCUUUGUUCUUUCGCUUUUUGCAAUAAAUCUUGCUACUGCUCACUCUUUGGGUCCACGCUGCUUUUAUGAGCUGUAACACUCACCGCGAAGGUCUGCAGCUUCACUCCUGAAGCCAGUGAGACCACGAGCCCACCGGAAGGAACGAACAACUCCAGACGCGCCACCUUAAGAGCUGUAACCCUCACCGCGAAGGUCCACGGCUUCAUUCCUGAGCCAGCGAGACCACGAACCCACCAGAAGGAAGAAACUCCAAACACAUCCGAACAUCAGAAGGAGAAAACUCCAGAUGCGCCACCUUAAGAGCUGUAACACUCACCGCGAGGGUCCGCAGCUUCAUUCUUGAAGUCAGUGAGACCAAGAACCCACCAAUUCUGGACACGCUACCUCGGGAUCCAGAUGAAGGUACCCCAAGCAGCUUGAGAUGUGAUGAUGGAGACCAGUUUGAGAAGACCCAUCAUCUCUGAUUUCCCUCUGAUUAUGAAGUAAUACAACAAAGCUACAGUAAGUGGACUGAUACGGUGGUGAUUGCAAACUGUUUCUAACUUCUCUCAUUUACUGGCUGGUGUCUUUAGAGGUAGCAUUGCAUUUCAUUGGCAUAUGUUUUAUUUAGUCUUUCUAAAUUAAAAAAGUAUAUAUCUGUUAUUUUCACACAUUAGGAAGUAAGAAAGGAUGUUAAAGAUACCUAUUUCUGUUUUUAGUAAACAAAGCUUAUUGAAAAAGUCUUUUUUGUAUUUGCUAAGAAUGUUUUUCAUUAACAAUGGCUAUUUUCU